rnacentral:rRNA from 1 species
UACGUAGGGGGCUAGCGUUGUCCGGAUUUAUUGGGCGUAAAGAGCGUGUAGGCGGCCAGGUAGGUCUGCUGUGAAAACUCGAGGCUCAACCUCGAGAUGUCGGCGGAAACCGUCUGGCUAGAGUCCGGAAGAGGAGAGUGGAAUUCCUGGUGUAGCGGUGAAAUGCGCAGAUAUCAGGAGGAACACCGGUGGCGAAGGCGGGUCUCUGGGCAGUAACUGACGCUGAGGAGCGAAAGCGUGGGGAGCGAACAGG